CCCUUAGAUGUUCGGGGCCGCACGCGCGCUACACUGAAGGAAUCAGCACGUCUUUCUCCUUGUCCGAAAGGACUGGGUAACCCGCUGAACCUCCUUCGUGCUAGGGAUUGGGGCUUGUAAUUCUUCCCCAUGAACGAGGAAUUCCCAGUAAGCGCGAGUCGUAAGCUCGCGUUGAUUACGUCCCUGCCCUUUGUACACACCGCCCGUCGCUACUACCGAUUGGAUGGUUUAGUGAGAUCCUCGGAUUGGUCCCGGAGCGGCCUCUGGUCGUGCCGGAGUGCCGAAAAGAAUGUCGAACUUGAUCAUCUAGAGGAAGUAAAAGUCGUAACA
rnacentral:rRNA from 1 species